rnacentral:rRNA from 1 species
UGCGGUGAUGAUGGCAGGAAGGAUACACCUGUUUCCAUUUCGAACACAGAAGUUAAGCUUCUUAGCGCC